CCGCUGGCGAAGUCGGCUCCCCGACAAAGAACGACGAUCAUGUGCUAAAGCGUGGUGAGCAAACAGGAUUAUAUGCCCUCGUAGUUCUCCCCGUAGACGACGUCGUCUUCGAGGUUGUUCCCCCGAUGAGUGGCUUCUUGAGCUAACGCCUUAAUUCGACCGCCUCGUGAGUACGGCCGCAACGUUAAAAAUCAAAAGAAUUGACGGGGGGCCGCCCAAGCGGUGGAGCAUCUGGUUUAAUUAGAUGCAACGCGGAGAACCUUACCUACUCUUGACAUCCAGAGAACAUAUCAGAGAUGAUUUGGUGCCUUCGGGAACUAUUAGACAGGUGGUGCAUGGCGGUUGUCAUCUCCUGUUGUGAAAAGUUGGGUUAAGUCCCGCAACGAGGGCAACCCUUAUCCUUUUUUGCCAGCGGUUCGGCCGGGAAGUCAAAAGAGGCUGCCAGCGAUAAAAUGGAGGAAGGUGGGGGGGACGUCAAGUCAUCAUGGCCCUUACGAGUAGGGGUACACCCCUGCUACAAUGGUGCAUCCAAAGAGAAGAGGCCUCGUGGGAGCAAGCGGGCCUCAUAAAAAGCGUCGUAGUCCGGAUUGGAGUUUUCAACUAGUCUCCAUGAAGUAGGAAUCGUUAGUAAUUGUAGAUCAGAAUGAUACGGCGAAUAAGUUCCCGGGCCUUGUACACCCCCCCCCUCACCCCACCGGAGGGGGGUGCAAAAAAAGUAGGUAGCUUAACCUUCGGGAGGGC
rnacentral:rRNA from 1 species